AGAGUUUGAUCCUGGCUCAGGAUGAACGCUAGCUACAGGCUUAACACAUGCAAGUCGAGGGGCAUCAGGAAGAAAGCUUGCUUUCUUUGCUGGCGACCGGCGCACGGGUGAGUAACACGUAUCCAACCUGCCCUUUACUCGGGGAUAGCCUUUCGAAAGAAAGAUUAAUACCCGAUAGCAUAAUGAUUCCGCAUGGUUUCAUUAUUAAAGGAUUCCGGUAAAGGAUGGGGAUGCGUUCCAUUAGGUUGUUGGUGAGGUAACGGCUCACCAAGNCUUCGAUGGAUAGGGGUUCUGAGAGGAAGGUCCCCCACAUUGGAACUGAGACACGGUCCAAACUCCUACGGGAGGCAGCAGUGAGGAAUAUUGGUCAAUGGGCGCUAGCCUGAACCAGCCAAGUAGCGUGAAGGAUGAAGGCUCUAUGGGUCGUAAACUUCUUUUAUAUAAGAAUAAAGUGCAGUAUGUAUACUGUUUUGUAUGUAUUAUAUGAAUAAGGAUCGGCUAACUCCGUGCCAGCAGCCGCGGUAAUACGGAGGAUCCGAGCGUUAUCCGGAUUUAUUGGGUUUAAAGGGAGCGUAGGUGGACUGGUAAGUCAGUUGUGAAAGUUUGCGGCUCAACCGUAAAAUUGCAGUUGAUACUGUCAGUCUUGAGUACAGUAGAGGUGGGCGGAAUUCGUGGUGUAGCGGUGAAAUGCUUAGAUAUCACGAAGAACUCCGAUUGCGAAGGCAGCUCACUGGACUGCAACUGACACUGAUGCUCGAAAGUGUGGGUAUCAAACAGGAUUAGAUACCCUGGUAGUCCACACAGUAAACGAUGAAUACUCGCUGUUUGCGAUAUACAGUAAGCGGCCAAGCGAAAGCAUUAAGUAUUCCACCUGGGGAGUACGCCGGCAACGGUGAAACUCAAAGGAAUUGACGGGGGCCCGCACAAGCGGAGGAACAUGUGGUUUAAUUCGAUGAUACGCGAGGAACCUUACCCGGGCUUAAAUUGCAGUGGAAUGAUGUGGAAACAUGUCAGUGAGCAAUCACCGCUGUGAAGGUGCUGCAUGGUUGUCGUCAGCUCGUGCCGUGAGGUGUCGGCUUAAGUGCCAUAACGAGCGCAACCCUUAUCUUUAGUUACUAACAGGUUAUGCUGAGGACUCUAGAGAGACUGCCGUCGUAAGAUGUGAGGAAGGUGGGGAUGACGUCAAAUCAGCACGGCCCUUACGUCCGGGGCUACACACGUGUUACAAUGGGGGGUACAGAAGGCAGCUAGCGGGUGACCGUAUGCUAAUCCCAAAAGCCUCUCUCAGUUCGGAUCGAAGUCUGCAACCCGACUUCGUGAAGCUGGAUUCGCUAGUAAUCGCGCAUCAGCCACGGCGCGGUGAAUACGUUCCCGGGCCUUGUACACACCGCCCGUCAAGCCAUGGGAGCCGGGGGUACCUGAAGUACGUAACCGCAAGGAUCGUCCUAGGGUAAAACUGGUGACUGGGGCUAAGUCGUAACAAGGUAACC
rnacentral:rRNA from 1 species